GGGUACUGCUCAGUGGUAGAGCACAUGCUUAGCAUGCACGAGGUCCUGGGUUCCAUCCCCAGUACCUCCG
rnacentral:tRNA from 1 species